rnacentral:rRNA from 1 species
GCGAACGCUGGCGGCACGCUUACCACAUGCAAGUCGAACGGAAGCUGUACUUCGGUAUAGCUUUAGUGGCAAACGGGUGAGUAAUAUAUAGGAAUCUGCCCUUUUGUGGGGGAUAGCCAUGGGAAACUGUGGAUAAUACCGCAUAAGCUUGGGAAAGGAAAGGUCUAACGACCGCUGAAGGAGGAGCCUAUAUCGGAUUAGAUAGUUGGUAGGGUAAAAGCUUACCAAGUCGACGAUCCGUAGCUGGUCUGAGAGGAUGAUCAGCCACACUGGGACUGAGAUACGGCCCAGACUCCUACGGGAGGCAGCAGUGAGGAAUAUGGGACAAUGGGGGAAACCCUGAUCCAGCGAUGCCGCGUGAAUGAUGAAGGCCUAUGGGUUGUAAAGUUCUUUCAUCUGUGAAGAUAAUGAUGGUAACAGAAAAAGAAGCCCCGGCUAACUCCGU